rnacentral:rRNA from 1 species
CGGAGGGUGCAAGCGUUAUCCGGAUUCACUGGGUUUAAAGGGUGCGUAGGUGGGCUAGUAAGUCCGUGGUGAAAUCCCCGAGCUUAACUCGGGAACUGCCGUGGAUACUAUUAGUCUUGAAUAUCGUGGAGGUAAGCGGAAUAUGUCAUGUAGCGGUGAAAUGCUUAGAUAUGACAUAGAACACCGAUAGCGGAGGCAGCUUACUACGCGAUUAUUGACACUGAGGCACGAAAGCGUGGGGAUCAAACAGGAUUAGAUACCCUGGUAGUCCACGCCCUAAACGAUGGAUACUCGACAUACGCGAUACACUGUGUGUGUCUUGAGCGAAAGCAUUAAGUAUCCCACCUGGGAAGUACGACCGCAAGGUUG